UACAGGGGGUGCAAACGUUGCUCGGAAUCAUUGGGCGUAAAGCGCACGUAGGCGGUUCGUUAUGUCGGAUGUGAAAGCCCUUGGCUUAACCGAGGAAGUGCAUCCGAAACUGGCGAGCUAGAGUACGAAAGAGGAUCGCGGAAUUCCCGGUGUAGAGGUGAAAUUCGUAGAUAUCGGGAGGAACACCCGUGGCGAAAGCGGCUCACUGGGUCUUCUCUGACGCUGAUGCACGAAAGCUAGGGGAGCAAACGGG
rnacentral:rRNA from 1 species